rnacentral:snRNA from 1 species
AUCUGUUUUUAUCAGUUUAAUAUCUGAUACAUCCCCUACCCGGGGACUGCAUAUUAAAUGGAUUUUUGGAUCACGGAGCUGGAGCCGGGGCUUGCUCCGUCCACUCUUUACACAUCGGCCUGGUAUUGCAGUGUCUGCAGGAAUGUUGU